AGGACGAACGCUGGCGGCGUGCUUAACACAUGCAAGUCGAACGGAAAGGCCCUUUCGGGGGUACUCGAGUGGCGAACGGGUGAGUAACACGUGGGUGAUCUGCCCUGCACUUUGGGAUAAGCCUGGGAAACUGGGUCUAAUACCGAAUACACCUUGCUGGCUGCAUGGCUGGUGGGGGAAAGCUUUUGCGGUGUGGGAUGGGCCCGCGGCCUAUCAGCUUGUUGGUGGGGUGAUGGCCUACCAAGGCGACGACGGGUAGCCGGCCUGAGAGGGUGUCCGGCCACACUGGGACUGAGAUACGGCCCCAGACUCCUACGGGAGGCAGCAGUGGGGAAUAUUGCACAAUGGGCGCAAGCCUGAUGCAGCGACGCCGCGUGAGGGAUGACGGCCUUCGGGUUGUAAACCUCUUUCAGUAUCGACGAAGCGCAAGUGACGGUAGGUACAGAAGAAGCACCGGCCAACUACGUGCCAGCAGCCGC
rnacentral:rRNA from 1 species